rnacentral:rRNA from 1 species
AUAUCAGUAAGCGGAGGAAAAGAAACUAACGAGGAUUCUCCCAGUAACGGCGAGUGAAGCGGGAACAGCCCAUGACGAACGGUCUGCCGUGGCAGGCAGACUGAGUGUGUCGUGGAGCGGCGCGCGGUGCGAGGCGCAAGUCGCAGGUCCCUGGAAAGGGGCGGCAGAGAGGGUGAGACCCCCGUGGCGACGAGCGACGGAGCACAGCGAGCGGCGCAGCGAGUCGGAUUGUUUGGGAAUGCAAUCCCAAGUCGGUGGUACGCGCCAUCUAAGGCUAAACAGCGGCAAGAGACCGAUAGCGCACAAGUA